AAAAAGGAGAGAAAAAAUACUAAGAAAAAGUUAAUACAAAGUAAAUCACAUUCUCUUCCUAACACCUAAAGAAACUAUAAUUAGGGACAACAUAUAAAACUACAUAAUAAAGAUAAAAAAGAUAAGGUUAAGUCUCUCUCUCUCUCUCUCUCUCCCCCCCUCUCUCUCUCCAUCUAUAAUCUGUAGGGGAAGAUCAAGAUCUUAUCUGAGGUUAUUUGCAGUUAUAUACCUUAAUUUUUGCUUUGGAUUUUCCCCUUAUUUCGAAGAAAAACACCUGCGCAGUAAUCAUCAUGUCCUCCAAACUUUGUAUUUCAUCAUUAGUCGCACACUCUCAUCAUCACUACAAGACAUUCUUUUACCAUCAACGAACCCCAUCUACAAACUCAAAGAUCAGAGCAAGAAAAAGGAAGAAAAGGAGAGAAAAAACUGGCGAUAUUGAAGAUGGGUUCAUUGAAGAAGAAGAAACCCUACUUUCUGUUUCUGAUCAUCUUUGAGCCAUGAGUCUGCAAUGGAUUUCUUCUUCUUCUUCUUCUCUUCUUCUCUUCUUCUCCGGGGAAUUGAAGCAUGUCGGUCCGAUAUUUUACUAGAUCAAUCAAAUUAAGAUCUAUCUAUCUACAAAUUAUUCAAGAUUCUUCACUUGCGCACUCAAUUGAUGAGUCUUUUGCUAAAUUUGCAUCUACUUCGAGAAAUUUCAAAUGGUUAGUUUUGCUUUGGAUAUGGUGAUUGUCUACUGAUUAAAGAACAUGGUAAGAUCAUUUCUUAGCAUGUGAUUUGAUUCUCUUUUCUUGCUUGAAAAUAAAUUCAUGCCCCCCCCCCCCCCCCCCCCCCCCCACACCAACCAAAUAGGGGCCAAACGGGGCCCCCUCUAGAAGCAUAAUUACUAAGGUUUCUCUUUCUUUCUGUUGCCUGUUGAACCCAAAUCUAUGUUGGUGUAAGUUUGUGAAAUCAUUAAGAAGGCGAGUACUAUAAGCAUGUAAAGAAUAAAUGUUGUUCUUGAGAACACAAAACCGAAGUAUUUCCAUUUGAGUGUAUGUAUUGGAUGCUUGUAUUAAUUAGAAUUGUCUGUAUCUAGGGUUAAAUGUUUCUUUCAGAACUUUAUAUACUUUGGUUUUCUGUAUUGAUUGGAUUUGUCUGAAUCUAGGGUUUGAUGUUCCUUUCAUAUAUUCAGAUGUUUUGUCGUCAGAAAUUUAUUCUAUAUCACAGUUGAAACUAAUUAUUUAAUUACUUUUUUGUUUAAGAAUAAUCUUAAAUCCUUCUCCUUGUGAUUAUUGCUCCAAAACACAAGGAUUAUAAUAAAAAUUUCCUUUCUUUCUCAAAACGAAUAUGCUAAUGAAGCUUAGAGAUUCGGUAAAGAGGAAGAAACUUAUAAUAUCCUAGCUGCUUAUACUUAUUUUCAUGGACAAGUAUUUUAGACAACUUUCAUUCGUCAUACUUCUUUCAAAAUUUAAGGAAUAUGAUCAAGGUCGCAAAUUCUUAGGUUUUGUUUGGCAUUUCUUAUUUUUAAUUUUUGUUUGAUAAACACCUGAGGAGGAUAAAUUCUACAUUAAGUUUGAAUUAAUUAGGUUAAGUACUGAUAAUCUCCGUUGAAUUAUGUAUAAGCUUCUAGAAGAGAAUUUGAAAUGAUGAAUUUGUCCCUUUGAUGUCCACUGUUAUUGUGGUCACUUGUCGUCCCUCAAAAGGUAGGGUUUUCCAAAAGGAAAUGAUUGUGUUUCUUGAGUGAAUUAGUUAUCUACAUUAUGAUGAGGGGAAAGUUAAUGAUAUGAUUUAUUAGUCAUCGAUGCAAAUAAUGUCAAUGGUUGAAAAAGAUCAAAGCUUUUGAUACUAAAACAGUGAAUAUGUUCAUCUUUUAAAUCUUGAACCACAUGGGAACAAAUUGAGGUGAAGACAAUAAUCAUAGAAAUUUGGGAUAUUUUUUCAAUUGUCUCUAAGCAUUAUAAUAAGAAGAACACAAAUAAAAAAUAAAAAUAGAGAAUAAUAUUG
rnacentral:lncRNA from 1 species